GUUUUUAUAGUUGAAAAUACAACGGGGGCUUUUCGUGCCCUAGGUCUUGGUACAGAGCCCAAGUGAGAAUG
rnacentral:tRNA from 1 species